CACUGCUGCAUUCGGUUAGGUGGCAGUUCUUUGUUUAGAAGGACACUUCCCCAUGGAUUGCACUUACUACCCUUGGCAUAGAUAAGUCAGUGUUGGUGUUUGACUAGUUUGAGACAGUCUUAUUAUGUAACCCACUAUGUAGUCCAAACUAGUCUACAACUUUUCUUCCAUUUUUGUGUAUGUUUUGUGUGCCAUGUGUGCCCUGUGCCUACAGAUGCCAGAAGAGUGCAUUAGAUUCCCUGGAACUGAGUUGCAGGCAAUUGUGAGCCAUGGUGUUGGUGCUGGGGAUCAAAUCCUGGGCUUUCUGGAAGAGCAGCCAGUCUCUUGCUAGGGUAUUCUUUUCAUCUCUCAAUUCCUUUACCUCAAGCAGCAGAGUGCUGGGACAACAGGGAUGUACAACUCUUUGUUUUCGAGAUAGGGUUUCUCUGCGCAAAGCCUUGGCUGGUCUGGAACUCACUCUGUAGACCAGGUUGACCUCGAAACCAAGAAAUCCUCUGCUUCUCCCUCCAGAGUGCUCCACCACUGCCCAACCAUUUUACCUGGUGGUCCUCUGCUUUGAACCGAGUUUACAGCCCCAGUCAGAGUUCUAGUGUUUCCUUUUUUUUUUUUUUUUCUCUUUUGGUUGAGACAGUAUCUACCUGGCCUGGAAGUCUGAAACCAAUCUGGCCUCAAGUUCUGCCUCCACCUGCUAAUGCUGGGAUUAAAGGAAAAUUCCAUAGUCUCUUGGAACUGAUUUGUCUGAAGACAUGCACUUGUCUGCAGGAUCGCUGCUCAGGUGUGGUGCUGUUGACCAGCGGGGAGGGUGUUGCCUGAGACCUAAGAAGCAUCUACAUGCAGGACACACAAGGAUCAAAGAAAGGCUUGUGCCACCACAGCAUGGCCUAUGUGGCCUUCAAAGAGGGAUAAAAUACAUUUUUAAAAAAAGCCUGUAAGUGGACUUGUCAUUAAAGCACCUGCUUUAUAGUAUAGAUUAAAAAGGAGACAUAGAAAAGAAAUACAGAAAGAAAAUAAAGGAAGCUAAAUUACUGUCUGAUAUACUUUUAAAUAUAACAAAAGUGGCACAAGUCUACUCUCAUCACAAACUAGGAAAAUGCCAUUUUGUUGGGUAUGGUGAUUUAUGACUUGGCACAACCUUGGACAGGGCUUGGUGGCGCACUUGGAGACAGGCAGAUUCUCUUAAUUUGAGGACAGUUUGGUCUGCAUAGUGAAUUCCAAGAGAGACAGGGCUCAAAUAAAAAGGGGGAAAAUCUAUCUUUAGGUAUAUUGUAUAUAUAGCCACUGGAUUGGAGAAGACCUACACAGGUAAAAAUGUAUUGACUGCUCAAGGUUUGGUGAUUUUAGUUUAACAAAUUAUUUUCUUUAGGACUGAAACCAGGGUUUCUCUUUUUAGCCUUGGCUGUCCUUGAACUUACAGAGAACUAACUAUCUGCCUCUGCCUCCUGAAUGCUGGGAGUCAAGGCUGAGCCACAACUGCCUGGUGGGCUGAAACCUCUUAUAAAAAGCACACAGACAAAUAUACAAGGUGACCUUGGCCUGUAUAGAAGGUGACACACCUGUAAUCCUGUUACAGGAUGGAGCCAACAGGUAUUCUGUAGGAAGAGCUUCUCUACACAAUGCCUGUGUGUACAUGUAUGACAUUCCUACUUACUGAUGAAAGAUUUGUCUCCACAGUAAUGAAUUGUUUGGAAAGGGUACAUGCCAUGGGUAGGCAUGGCUCACCCUGAACUAGAGUCUAGAGUUAGCCAA